rfam:Salmo salar isolate Sally breed double haploid chromosome ssa03, whole genome shotgun sequence.
UGUAUUCUCUACUGUAAGUCGCUCUGGAUAAGAGCGUCUGCUAAAUGACUUAAA